GGAAAUUUAGGAGCCCAAUUUGAAGUAAGGACAAAUUGUUUCUAUUAGAAACAUUUGUAGUCAGUUCUAUGGUGAGGGAAGUCUGUCACUCCUACUACUGUAAGAGUGUGGAUCAAUUUGGAUAUCUCAAGACAAUGGAUGUUUUCAACUUUUGAAAUCUGAUUAUGGAGAGAGAUAUCCUUUCUGAUGCAGGUGACGACUUUCAAUACUUAUGACGUGAACAUAAUUUGCAUAGAUAGUUCUUGUCAUACAUUUCACGAGUAAGGUGGUUUUUCUAGCACCAUUGGUUAGGAAAUCA
rnacentral:misc_RNA from 1 species